rnacentral:rRNA from 1 species
GAUGAACGCUGGCGGCGUGCUUAAUACAUGCAAGUCGAACGGAAAGGCCCUGCUUUUGCUGCUUUCUCGUUUGCCGAACGCGUGAGUAACACGUGAGUAACCUCCCCUUAUCUUUCGGAUAACUUCAGGAAACUGGGGCUCUUAUCGGAUAGGAGCUCUUGCUGCAUGUUGUGGGUUGGAAAGAUACGGCGGUGGUGGCUGGACUCGCAGCUUAUCAGCUGGUUGGUGGGGUAGUGGAUUUCCAAGGCUUUGACGGGUAGCCUGCCUGAGAGGUUGACCGGCGACAAUGGGACUGAGGUAGGGCGCAGAAUGCUACGGGCGGCAGUAGUGGAGAGUAUUGCGGAAUGGCGGGACGCCUGAGACAACAGUGUUGCGUGCGGGAUGACGUCUUUCGGGUGAUAAACCGCUUUGCCCUGUGACGAGGAGUGAGUGACGGUAACUAGUAAAGAAGCACCGGCUAACUACGUG